rnacentral:ncRNA from 1 species
CAUUAUUUCACUUGACGUAAUUGAGAUUCCUUUAACUUUCUAUAGAAAAAAUGGAGAAUCCACAACGGCGGGCGCGAAAUUACUUGUAGCUAACCAGGUAGCGUUCUUCUGCCUUCGGGUGGGAGCUCCGCUGCCUGUCGUCCUUCUGGUGCCUCUGGAUAAUUGUUAGAGAUCGUAGUCGGCCUUGCGUCUGCGAUGGGUCCUUAAAAUGUCUGCCCUAUCAACUAUCGCUGGAAGCUGACCUGCCUACCAUGGUGAUAACGGGUAACGGGGAAUCAGGGUUCGAUUCCGG